rnacentral:rRNA from 1 species
AGUGAACGCUGGCGGUAGGCCUAACACAUGCAAGUCGAACGGCAGCACAGGAGAGCUUGCUCUCUGGGUGGCGAGUGGCGGACGGGUGAGGAAUACAUCGGAAUCUACUCUGUCGUGGGGGAUAACGUAGGGAAACUUACGCUAAUACCGCAUACGACCUACGGGGGAAAGCAAGGGACCUUCGGGCCUUGCGCGAUUGAAUGAGCCGAUGUCGGAUUAGCUAGUUGGCGGGGUAAAGGCCCACCAAGGCGACGAUCCGUAGCUGGUCUGAGAGGAUGAUCAGCCACACUGGAACUGAGACACGGUCCAGACUCCUACGGGAGGCAGCAGUGGGGAAUAUUGGACAAUGGGCGCAAGCCUGAUCCAGCCAUACCGCGUGGGUGAAGAAGGCCUUCGGGUUGUAAAGCCCUUUUGUUGGGAAAGAAAUCCAGCUGGCUAAUACCCGGUUGGGAUGACGGUACCCAAAGAAUAAGCACCGGCUAACUUCGUGCCAGCCGCCGCAGUAA